CAAUUUCAGUAGGUGAACCUGUGGGAAGGAUCAUAA
rnacentral:rRNA from 1 species